UAUUCGAGAAGUAUACCUCUCUUUGAGAAACCUUGUAACUCCAAAUUAAUUGGAUCAUUUAAGGUUCUUACUAGGAAUUCAUCCAUGAAGGUGAUUCCAGCAAGAAAACUAAACCGCACAGGUAUGAUGAUCGAGACAGAAAGCGCAAAUACUUUUCUGUCAAUACUACAUGACUUAUGACAAAUGACAUCUGAAAAGCGGUAUGCAGUGGUAGGCUUCAAUGAUCAUAGUGUGGGUAUCAUCUCCACAACCUGGAUUGAAAAAUCUGAUGAUGAAACCAUAUUGUGCUGGUGGCCACGGAGCAGGCAUGCAGUUAGUGCCCAAAAGCAUGAAAAGCCAGACAC